GAGGGUGUAGCUCAGUGGUAGAGCACAUGCUUGACACGCAUAAGGUCCUAAUCAUCAGUACCUCCA
rnacentral:tRNA from 1 species